AUGUGUUCUUUCCACUUCCAUGUGACUCUAAUCUCUUCACGUAGAGCGACGCCUAAAAGAAUACCUCGUCUAUCACCUCUAUCUUCAUCGUUCCCUCACUUUCGAUUGAUCCUUCCUCAGAUCUUUGAUCAUCACAUGUUGUUUCCGCGACAUUAUCAUCUUCUUUGUCAUGAUUCUGCUCUGAAGCCCGUCUCAUCUUCCUCGACGGUGUUGUACUGGAAUAGAGGUAACAUCGCCAAAGCCUCCGUGAAACAACGUGUAGACUUAUAUGAAACUCACUAUAAACGGAAUAUCGCACACGAAUUCAGCCUUAAGUUCUUCCAAUUAUCAUAA